AGGAAGGGAAGGUGGAGUCUGUGGUGAAGAAAUGAAAGUGAAAUCAGUGUUGACUAUUUAAUGAGUUUGUGCUGAGCUGCUGGAGGACACUUCUGCUGCUCAGGACAACAGGAUGGUCGACUUGACGUCACAUUUGACUUGACUAAUCUGCAGCUUUGACGCCAAGUUCCAGAGGAUUUAAGGUGUGUGGCCCUGACGUGGUUCCGCUCUAACCUGAAGAUUCUUUUGGUGGGUGGGAUUGUAACGGAACCCAUAAUGCAGCUGUGACUGUGAGCGUCAGCUGGUUAUGGGGUCCGUUUCAACCCCACAAUGCACAGGCCGUCCCGACGCACACCAGGCCUCCCCUUCAUCAACGACACAAACCCUGGAGUCUGUUUGCACAUUGAUGAAAUCUUUAAUGUCCCAUAAAGGUCAUGUGGAGCUGCAUUGGGAAGAGUAUCCAGUGUAAAAUGUGCACCAAAUCAACAUGCAGAUCCACCUCAGAUCACCUGUGGUCACCCCGAGUGAAACGAGGGAAAAGCUGAAGGGACUAAAACCUUGACGUACAGGGUGUAUGAAGCCCCCCCCCCGCCCCCGCCACACACCAUCCAAUUACUUAUGGACCUGACUGACCUCAUAGUAGUAUUUAGUAACCACAGGUGGAUGUUCUACCAACUGGUCAAAGUAACCAUUCUAAUUGACUUGAAUCACGGCCACCCAAGGCCAAGGUUAAAGGUCAUGUGGCCAACAGAAGAGUGAUAUGACUGCAUAGUAAAACACCUACAUUAUCACCUGUGUAUAUAAGCUUUUGCUUCUACCUACACCCCUACACCCCUUCAGUUACUUGGGUUAACUAAGAAUUCAGUUUUGUUUUAUUUUGUAGUGAAAAGUUUAUUUUUUUUUCUUUGUACCGAAAUAAACUUAUUAAUUAUGAGGUCCAAAUUUAACCUUUGACUCAACUGACUCUUUGCCAAAUUAAAACCUCUUCAUCUUUGGCUGACUCUCAACAGGUUCCAUGACGUUUGACCUAUUUUGGACCAAAACUCUAGUUACGAGGUCUAUUAGAUAAGAAACCAACACUUUUUUUUUAACUAUAUGGAUUUGAAUGACAUGCGAUUACACCAAUCAUGCUUGAACCCUCGUGCGCAUGCGUGAGUUUUUUC